AAAAUGGGGUAGGAAGAAGUGAGAACUUAUAAACUCCUACCCCUAAACACUUGAAACUUUAGAGUCCUACUGUCAUUAAACAAAUCGAAAUCAAAGUGGCAGUCAGAAGUAACAGUUACUAAUAUUUACCUAUACAUUUUCCCAUUUUAUUCUGGUUUGUCUUUCUAAACCCUUACACCAAGUUAUCUGCAAUACACACCUUAUUGCUUUCCAUCACCCGUAUGUGUAUCUAUUGAAAAUUACCUCUUUGUACUUUCUUUUGAAUUGUGUUAAACUAUUGCUUUAUGAGGGCUUAUGAGCAAGAA